AACUGUCCCUGGCGUCAGUUCCUAAAGCAGAGAGCAAAGAGAUCCAGGGAUAACUCUAGUAUCCAAUUAACUGAUCUAUUAAUUAUUCAGCUGGAAGUUUGAGCCACAGCACUGCAAGCCUCAGAUGCUUCAGAUGGGGUGACAGGCCAUCACUCCCACUGUGCCACAGACAAUAGUCCCUCAUCAGAAAGUAAUCAUCGACGAAGGAGGAACCCGGCAGGGGGUCCUUCAUUGUUCUUACCGAAGAGGAGAAGCAGGGGAGUGUCUCUGCAGAACAAUGGUCUCAUCAUCAGACACACAGGACAAGGAGGAGAAUACGUUCCAUGUUUGGGAUUUAACAGCCCAGGAAGUCUACACGGAGGAAACCCCAGACAGAGAUCACAGCUUCGUCCAGACGGCAGGCGCUGCUCUGACAGCGGGCAGAGCCUCUGAUGGAGACUGGCCUCAUGAACUGUUUGUCUGUUGUCUGUGCCUUAUAUACUGUACAUUAUGAGCAACUGGAGUCAAGUCUGCGAGCACAAAGGCAAGGUCAAUAAUGUGAAGUGAUCUGUCGGGUCAAAAGACUUGGCCUGGUUCCAGUCAUUGUUGAAGGAGUGUUUUUUUUCAAAGCAAGCAUGCAAUCCCCUUUUCUGCACUCACGCUCAACUCUUGAGUAUUUCCUGUGGAGGAAUCAAUAAGACAAUCGCAGCGAGUGGCUCAGUGGUCAGCCUGAAGACGUGAUUCAUGAUUGAAUGUUUGGAAAUGCAAAGUGGCUGUGACAAACUGUAAACAAGAUAAUUGCUGUAAAAAUUUCCAGAGCACCAAGGACAUUUUUCUGGAAGUUUUGCCUCUGCGUUUCUGUCUUGGAAACACAAUGACAUAACGGAGAUUUGGACAGCUGAGGCCCUACAAAUCCAGCAUUAAAAACCAACAAAACUUUCUUUUUGAACACAAAUAACAUCUUUCUCUGGAAGAUUCAUCAGCUGAUAUUUUCAUGAAUGUAGACACUUUUCACAGCAAUGAUUGCAUUUUUUAACUUUAUUUAUCUGCCCCUCAAAAUCUCAUACUGGCUUCAAACAUCAAAAGCAUACACGUUUUCUUUUUUCAGGGAUAUUUUAAAAAUGAGGAAGUAUUUGAUUUGAUGGUUACAUUAAUGAUUAAUGAAAAAAUAAAUUUAAUAAAUUUUACUUUGAUUAGUAUUAAAAUAAAACCACAUCACCGACCUAUCUGACUACACCUGAUGGAACCACAUGAUGAUCACCUAAAAUCUGAAGUAUUUACCAGUAUAGUAUGCUAUUGUUAUAAUGUCGAUGUGCACAUCAAUAACAAAAUGCAGGAGGGGUUACCACCAUGUGUAGUAGUUUAUAUUUCUUGUAAGGACUGGGACUUCUAUAAUAUUGAUUGACAGAUUGACAGUCUGACCUAAAGUAAACAAGAAUUUAGCUAUUUUAUGCUAAGUUCACAGGAAUCUUCUUACAGGCAAACGAGAUGUUUGGUUAGCCAACUAAGUCUAUUAUUCUUCUCCAACUUGUAUAUUUUGUCAGUUUCAUAUUUUUAUAUUUAUAUUAUGUCUAUUGUUACACACCUUGUCACCGCAGCAAAUUACUUGUAAGUGUAAAAUCUGCUUAGCAAGAAAGCUGUUCCUGUUUUUUUUAUUUCUCUCCUAUUCAUCUGCAAUAUUAAUUAUUGUUAAUUAAUAAUUAUUACUUAGUGUUUGCUAUACGGUUCUUCUUUGACUUUACAUUUUCCAACCCUUGUAGAGAUUUGGGAACUCCAGCAUAAAAAUAAUACCAGCUGGCUAAUCAACUGCAACGUUUAAAAUUAUUUCGGAAAGCUUUAAGGCUCGUGCUACUUGCUCCCUUAUAUGUUUAUAUGCUGGAAUUGCAUUUCCCGAAUCUGUAAGAGGUGGCAAAUUCAAAGUUAGCAUGAGCCAAACAAACAGCUUGAAAAAUAUCAGAAUUUUCUUUUUUACGGAAAAUGAGGCACAAAUUCUGCAUGGAUAAAGGCUUCACAUGCAGUGAUUCAAUGUCAUUUAAGGUCAGAUAAGCGCAUAAACAUAAUUGUGUACGGUACACGCAUGCAUUUUUCCAAGUUUCAUCAUCAAACACUCGUUUACCAAAGCUGCGUUCCCUGGCCUCUUAUGGAACAUGUCCUGCUCUCAUAGCAGCCCCUGACCUCUUAUCAGCUCUGCUCAGCCUUUCUUUCUUAUUGGUAAUAAAACCACCGUCCGCAUAGCUGCUGAUGAGUGGAAACCAGGAGCACAAUCACAGGCUCUGUUCUCUGCCAUUAAAGAAUAAAAUAACAAAAAACAAGGUGAUAACAACUCAAGACCUUUGUCCUUCCAAACCCACAAGCAUGCUGAUUAAAUUCCAUCAGAGUUAUUCAUAGCCACCCCCCGCCCCCCGUCCUCCUCUCAGUGUUAUAAGCAUUUCACAUUCAGCAGCAUAGACAACUGGCUGUGCUGAGGUUGGGAGAUUUUAUCCCAAAAAGCCUUAAAAAAGUAGCCGGCGGUCAAAUCCUUUCAAACAAGGGAGGAAAGCACAUCACACGGCUGGAAUAGCAACAAAAUGUCAAAUCAGAUAUGAGAAUAAGCAAUUGUGUCAGUGUUUGAAUUUUGUUUUUGUUCAGUCGUGGAGACUUGGGUACAAUCAAAAUGUUUUAAGAGGUCCUGCCCCUGUCAUUACAAUGAUGAGGCAUCACGUACUGGAAGGUUUUUUUGGGUAUCAUACCACCAAAUGAAAACAGUCAACUUCCUCACAGCCGGGGGCAGACAAAACACAAUUUCUGCUUCUCUAAAAAUGGUUGGCUGCAGGAGAGCACGUACAGUUGCUGAAGUGAAGUGCCUGAGUGGCUGUGCCAGGAGGACUGCAGAAGCAUGCUGACCUCCUCUCUGAUGAUUUCCGUCUGCCCCUGGUGCCACCAGGAGACGAGACAUGAAUGAAGAGGAUGCUUCUGACCCUGAGGACAAUAGAAAACAGAUAAACUGGGCUUUGUGGUGCCAGCUUGAUGCGGUCCUCUUGUUGCAUUCACAAACGGCAAACACAACAGUAACUAAUACUAAUGAGUUUGAGUCAUAUUUACAGACAAGUUAGAUGGGAUGCUAGAUGGGCAAUUUCUGAGAUGGAAAUUCUGUUCAAAAGUUAAAUACUUGACUGUUUCUUUGCUUUUAAUAAAUCAGUAAAGAGCAAGAUUUUUCAAUAUUUUAUGUAACUUUCAGAACGUCAGAGUUUAUGUAAAUCACAGGCAAGAUUAUCUGUUUAUUUCAUAUUGUCAAUAUAUCAACUUUAUGUUCAUACCAUGGUAAAUUCCACAUACAUGUAAAUUACUACUUGGCAAUAAAGAACUUUCUGAUUCUGAA